AUACGUAGGUGACAAGCGUUAUCCGGAUUUACUGGGCGUAAAGGGCGUGUAGGCGGUCUUGCAAGUCAGAAGUGAAAUUCCUGAGCUCAACUCGGGCGCUGCUUCUGAAACUGCAGGACUUGAGUGCUGGAGGGGAUAGCGGAAUUCCUAGUGGAGCGGUAACAUGCGCAGAUAUUAGGAAGAACACCGGUGGCGAAGGCGGCUAUCUGGACAGUAACUGACGCUGAGGCGCGAAAGCGUGGGGAGCAAACAGGAUUAGAUAACCUGGUAGUCCACGCCGUAAACGAUGAAUACUAGGUGUAGGGGGUAUCGACUCCCUCUGUGCCGCAGUUAACACAAUAAGUAUUCCGCCUGGGGAGUACGGCCGCAAGGUUGAAACUUAAAGGAAUUGACGGGG
rnacentral:rRNA from 1 species